GAAGGCUUUUGCUGUUCCGCCCCCUGGUGACCUGGACGUGCCUUUUGACACAGGCCCUAUUGGCCUUGAAAAGGAGAUGGAUAUGCUUUUCUUCGAUCCAGAAGGAACAGGAUAUGUAAGGCCCGAAGGCCGAGUUGCGGUGGCAACUUAAAGCAAAAGAUAUUGUUAAAAAGGAAUGGAAAAUGGAGACUGUUAAGUCAUGGAACCUAAAGGAUUGUUACCUUUCCUGAUUGUAUGUAUGUAUAGGCAUACUCGGGUUUAGUAUGUAAAGCAAUCUUCUAUAUAUUUAGGAUGUUUGAUGUUCAUGUGUGCGUGUUGGUGCAGUGUAGACUCCCCGCACACCCAGCGCUGUUUACUUGCCUUUUAUAGCUUUUAUAAUUUUUAUAAAUAUUACAAAAUUCAGAUUGAGUUGAGACUUCAUUUAUAACAACAGUAUAAAUACAAAGUAAAGCUAGUCAGUAGUUCUGAUUUGUUCUGUCCAUAUGACAAGACCUCUCCUAAAUUGCCAAGGAAUUGAGUCUGGUGAAUUCAGGAUUUUCGUGUUUAUAGACUUGUGCAUUUUAUAUGGUAUCAAAAUGUAUUUACUUUGCUUAUUUUUCCUCUUACCUUACGACAGAAUCUAUCUCUGGUGUCUUUAUCAUCCUUACUGAAAGACCUGUGUGGAGAAGACAUCUGUCGAAGAAUUUCUUUCUUGCUCAAGGGAAGCUGAAGAGACUAGCUGUGUAACACAGAUCAGGCUGGGCUGGCAUGAACCUCUCAUCUUCCUUGCUGUUACGUUGUUAAGCAGAUACUCUUUCUACAUUAAUAGCUUUCACUCACUAUUAAUAUGGGAAGAGCCACCACCUAAAGGUGCUUCUUUAGUGCACAGCAGCACAAUGUGUACACCAAUACAGUAUUCAAAUACCAAUUUACCUCCCAGUGACAGGAUUUGGAACAAAGCCCAAGUUCAGCAUUACUUAUCGCCUGCAUGAUACAGAAACAAGAAUUGCUUAUGCAAAACAGAAGAAAUAACAGUAUCGCAGUCCUAGGUAUGGGCAAAGACGUCUGAAUUCCUUUGGUUUUCACUGCUAAUUUCAAGGGUAAACUGACAGUGUACUCAGCAUGAAUUUCUGGUGAAUAAAAUAGGAAUUG